rnacentral:rRNA from 1 species
AUUGAACGCUGGCGGCAUGCCUUACACAUGCAAGUCGAACGGCAGCACGGGUGCUUGCACCUGUGGCGAGUGGCGAACGGGGUGAGUAAUACAUCGGAAUGUACCUUGUAGUGGGGGGAUAGCUCGGCGAAAGCCGGAUUAAUACCGCAUACGCUCUGAGGAGGAAAGCGGGGGACCUUCGGGCCUCGUGCUACAAGAGCAGCCGAUGUCAGAUUAGCUUGUUGGUGAGGUAAAAGCUCACCAAGGCGACGAUCUGUAGCUGGUCUGAGAGGACGACCAGCCACACUGGGACUGAGACACGGCCCAGACUCCUACGGGAGGCAGCAGUGGGGAAUUUUGGACAAUGGGCGAAAGCCUGAUCCAGCAAUGCCG